rnacentral:tRNA from 2 species
UGCGGGGUGGAGCAGGGGUAGCUCGUUGGGCUCAUAACCCAAAGGUCGUUGGUUCGAAUCCAGCCCCCGCUACCA